rnacentral:tRNA from 1 species
CAGCCGCGUGGCUCGGGAUGGGCUUUUUCGCUGUCGCCGCAAACGGCGGAGCGACCCCAUCGUCCAGAUGUUGGAGAGCGUCUUGCAGUUGA